GACGAACGCUGGCGGCGUGCUUAACACAUGCAAGUCGAACGGUAAGGCCCUUCGGGGUACACGAGUGGCGAACGGGUGAGUAACACGUGGGUGAUCUGCCCUGCACUUCGGGAUAAGCCUGGGAAACUGGGUCUAAUACCGGAUAGGACCAUUGCCUGCAUGGGUGGUGGUGGAAAGCUUUUGCGGUGUGGGAUGGGCCCGCGGCCUAUCAGCUUGUUGGUGGGGUGAUGGCCUACCAAGGCGACGACGGGUAGCCGGCCUGAGAGGGUAACCGGCCACACUGGGACUGAGGUACGGCCCAGACUCCUACGGGAGGCAGCAGUGGGGAAUAUUGCACAAUGGGCGCAAGCCUGAUGCAGCGACGCCGCGUGAGGGAUGACGGCCUUCGGGUUGUAAACCUCUUUCAGCACCGACGAAGCGCAAGUGACGGUAGGUGCAGAAGAAGGACCGGCCAACUACGUGCCAGCCGCCGCCGUAA
rnacentral:rRNA from 1 species